rnacentral:rRNA from 1 species
AUGAACGCUGGCGGCGUGCCUAAUACCUGCAAGUCGAGCGAACAGAUGAGGAGCUUGCUCCUCUGACGUUAGCGGCGGACGGGUGAGUAACACGUGGAUAACCUACCUAUAAGUCUGGGAUAACUUCGGGAAACCGGAGCUAAUACCGGAUAAUAUAUUGAACCGCAUGGUUCAAUAGUGAAAGACGGUUUUGCUGUCACUUAUAGAUGGAUCCGCGCCGCAUUAGCUAGUUGGUAAGGUAACGGCUUACCAAGGCAACGAUGCGUAGCCGACCUGAGAGGGUGAUCGGCCACACUGGAACUGAGACACGGUCCAGACUCCUACGGGAGGCAGCAGUAGGGAAUCUGCCGCAAUGGGCGAAAGCCUGACGGAGCAACGCCGCGUGAGUGAUGAAGGUCUUCGGAUCGUAAAACUCUGUUAUUAGGGAAGAACAAAUGUGUAAGUAACUAUGCACGUCUUGACGGUACCUAAUCAGAAAGCCACGGCUAACUACGUG